CUUACAUCUCAUCUUUCCCCUGGUUUCUGUCUCAGUAUCUUCCAGGAGGACAGCCUAACGUGACACUAAAAGCCAGGGCUGGGUGACACUAAAAGCCAGGGCUGCGGGAUAAGAUUCCUCUGCAGGCCGUACACUCCAUGACGGUCCAUGAUCACUUCAUGGCGGCAGGAGGGGCAUCGGAAACGGCUUCCAGACAUGGACACUGAGCCACCCCGGUUGGCCCAGUAGGGAUUUGCAGCCUGCUGGUGACAAGGGCAGAGUCUAGUUUCACUUUCUCAUAGGGUACCGCAUGCAGAGGCCUUGCACCUGGCACUUCAGACCAAAGCUCCUAGUGCAAAAUGGCUGCACUCAACACUUCAGCUCGAUGGGCUCGAAGCGCUGCACACGACACUGCAAUUCAAGAUGGUAGUGGUGGGCCAUGUGCUGCGCCCAGCACUGUGAUCUGGACCUGUGAGCAGCACAGCUGCACCUCUUCCACAAGAGCUCUGCCCCUACUCCCUGCGGACAAGAACCCUGUAAAGCAGCCCUGCUAAUGGCCUUUUGAGGAGAGCGUGUGCUCUAGAGCAUGAGCUCACAUCUCUCUAUUCCUCAAUUAAAGAAUAAAGCUUUCAUUUGCUUCUGAACCAAA